ACUAGCUUUUUCUCUGUAAUGGGAUGGGAUCCGAAGCCCUCCGAGUGAUAACACAGGCUCUCCCAUCCAACUCCUAUUCCAACAUGUUAUCGUCGUGCAGAGUGGUAACAUGUGCCUCCAUAUAUCCUAGCUUGGGUACACGGGCUAGAUCCAACCCCUUGGGCGGAUGGUGCCAUAUGGCGAACCAGGAGGAG
rnacentral:ribozyme from 1 species